rnacentral:rRNA from 1 species
UACGUAGGGGGCAAGCGUUGUCCGGAUUUAUUGGGCGUAAAGAGCGUGUAGGCGGUCAGGUAGGUCCGUUGUGAAAACUCGAGGCUCAACCUCGAGACGCCGAUGGAAACCAUCUGACUAGAGUCCGGAAGAGGAGAAUGGAAUUCCCGGUGUAGCGGUGAAAUGCGCAGAUAUCGGGAGGAACACCGGUGGCGAAGGCGGUUCUCUGGGCCUUACCUGACGCUGAGGAGCGAAAGCGUGGGGAGCGAACAGG